CUUGGUUCAGCCUCCACUCCAGAGACCUGCAGGAGAGACCUGUGACUCUCACCUGGGCAGCCCCAUAGACAGAUGGGGAAUAGAUAGCGGAUGGACAAAGCAAAGAAGCAGAGAGGGGUCUCUUCAAGGAUACAUGGUGGGCUACGACUAAAACCUGGCUCAUCUGAGAUCUCCCACAAGCUAAGCAACAACUUGGAGCACUGAGGUGUUGUAGACACGAGAGCAUGGACUCAGUAGAGCUGGGCAUUAUGUCACCACUUACUGGCUAUGUGACUUGGGUCAAGAAACAAGCACUCUCCAAAACCCAGUUUCCUCACUUGUAAAAUGACUAUAUGCUCCACGAAGCAUAGAUUGAGCCUUUGGCAUUAAAUCCCUCUUGAUAAAUGGUGACCCCAGUGCUA